rnacentral:rRNA from 1 species
CGUUGCUGAGAAGUUGGUCAAACUUGGUCAUUUAGAGGAAGUAAAAGUCGUAACAAGGUUUCCGUAGGUGAACCUGCGGAAGGAUCAUUAUCGUACAAAAUGUGAGAGGGGCAUGCGAGGGCUGUCGCUGACUCAAAGUCGUGCACGCCCGAGUGUGUCGCCUCACAUAAUAAUCCAUCUCACCCUUUGUGCAUCACCGCGUGGGCACCCCUUUGGGAUCAUCUCGGAGGGGGCUCGCGUUUUCACACAAAACCCCCCUUUUAAAAGUGUAGAAUGACCUCAUUUAUGCGUUAACCCGCAAUCAAUACAACUUUCAACAACGGAUCUCUUGGCUCUCGCAUCGAUGAAGAACGCAGCGAAAUGCGAUACGUAAUGUGAAUUGCAGAAUUCAGUGAAUCAUCGAAUCUUUGAACGCACCUUGCGCCCCCUGGUAUUCCGAGGGGCACACCCGUUUGAGUGUCGUGAAAACCUCAACCUCCUUGGUUUCUUCUGGAGACCAAAGCAGGCUUGGACUUUGGAGGCCUUUGCUGGCACCUCUCGCCAGCUCCUCUUAAAUGAAUUAGCAGGGUCCUCUUUGCUGAUCCUCGACGUGUGAUAAGAUGUUUCCAUGUCUUGGUUUCUGGCUCUGUCACCUUUGGGACCCGCUUCUAACCGUCUUCAACCUUGCGUUGAGACAANNCGUUCGAGCAUGUCUCCCUUCUCGGGAAGCUCCCUCGACCCCACGAACCCUUGACCUCAAAUCGGGUGAGACUACCCGCUGAACUUAAGCAUAUCAAUAAGCGGAGGAAAAGAAACUAACAAGGAUUCCCCUAGUAACUGCGAGUGAAGCGGGAAAAGCUCAAAUUUAAAAUCUGGCGGUCUUUGGCCGUCCGAGUUGUAAUUUAGAGAAGCGUCUUCCGCG